AUCUUCUCACACUCUCUCUCUUCUUACUUUAUCUUAAAACCAGUCACACUCUAGAGCGGCUCUGCAAAAGACGAAUAUGACUAGAGCUUCCAGUGCAUCUGCUAAGAGUACUCAGAAAUCUCAUGGAAUGAAAAAGAAAAAGUUACAGGGGAAAAAGGGAGGAAGACCAACAUUCAAAAAAAGUGGUGCCGAUAUAUGGGCUUUUAACUGGUUCGUGAGACCCAAGAUAUGGAGAAAUGGAAGGGAGGAUUAUUUCUAUAUUCAUAAAUAUGAAGAUGGACUUAUCUGUCGAUCUCUUAAAGAGGUCGAAAGGUUUGAAAAAGAUGGGACUCGUCCAGGUCGAAAAGCCAAACGAAAUAGCCAAAAAAAAUAAAGGUUUACCAUCAAAAUAAAAGUUAUUUCAACUUGUAAUCUUAAACUUUAUGUCAAAAAAUCUUAAACUUAUGUCCGUACUAAAACAAUAUUUAUCAGGUUGGAAUCAAACUGUAUUUGGAUUUAGAUAUUUUCUGCCUUGUUAUCUCUCGUGAAUGACAAUUUAUUGUGUUUUGAAUAAUUCAACAUAUCU